rnacentral:tRNA from 1 species
UAGUUGAUAGUCAUGGAGAAAUUGGAUCUCCUAUUUAUGUCAAUAGACUCAAAAGU